GACAGAGGGUGCAAGCGUUGUUCGGAAUCAUUGGGCGUAAAGGGCGCGUAGGCGGUUUUAUAAGUCGGAUGUGAAAUCCCAGGGCUCAACCGUGGAAGUGCAUCCGAAACUGUGAAACUUGAAUCCCAGAGAGGGCGGUGGAAUUCCCAGUGUAGAGGUGAAAUUCGUAGAUAUUGGGAGGAACACCAGUGGCGAAGGCGGCCGCCUGGACAGUUACUGACGCUCAGGCACGAAAGCAUGGGGAGCAAAAGGG
rnacentral:rRNA from 1 species